AAUAUUGGACAAUGGGGGCAACCCUGAUCCAGCCAUGCCGCGUGUGUGAAGAAGGUCUUCGGAUUGUAAGGCACUUUAAGUUGGGAGGAAGGGCUCUAGGUUAAUACCCUGAAGUUUUGACGUUACCAACAGAAUAAGCACCGGCUAAUUCUGUGCCAGCAGCCUCGGUAAUAAAGAGGGUGCAAGCGUUAAUCGGAAUUACUGGGCCUAAAGCGCGCGUAGGUAGUUCAGUAAGAUGGGUGUGAAAUCCCCGGGCUUAACCUGGGAACUGCUUUCAUAACUGAUGAGCUAGAGUACGGUAGAGGGUAGUGGAAUUUCCUGUGUAGCGGUGAAAUGCGUAGAUAUAGGAAGGAACACCAGUGGCGAAGGCGACUACCUGGACUGAUACUGACACUGAGGUGCGAAAGCGUGGGGAGCAAAC
rnacentral:rRNA from 1 species